CUACAAAUCAUAACUCUGUUUGAUGAUGCCUUUGGCCUACGUCUGAACAUCGAAAAGAGCAUGAUCACGUCAAUCAGGUGCAAUGACAAAAACCUCCAAAAAAUCCUGCAAAAUUUUGGAGGCCAGACAACACAGUUCCCCAUCAAAUAUCUAGGGUUGCCGAUCACCCUGGGAAGAGCGAGACUAGUUCACUUUCAAUUCAUUCUUGAUCGGAUUAGAGCAAGAUUGGCCGGUUGGAAAGGUAGAUUGAUAUCUUUCGCCGGAAGAAGGGUAUUAGUCCGAUGCGUGCUCUCCGCUAUCCUAACUUUCGCCCUGUCUGUGCUGCGACCGCCAAAGAGAUUGCUCAAAGACAUUGACAAGAUCCGUCGCCGUUUCCUCUGGGCACAAGAAAAAGACCUAACUGCCGGACACUGCAAAGUCGCAUGGAAGAAAAUUUGCACACUAACAGAAAAUGGUGGGCUAGGUUUACAUGACCUGGGAAGAUUCUCCAGUGCUCUACGCCAGCGAUGGUUAUGGCUAGCCUGGCAAAAUGAAGAGAGACUCUGGAAAGGGUCCGAGCUGCCAUGUGACAGCUCCGACAGAGCCCUCUUCGACAAUGCAACAACGGUGACUCUGGGAAACGGUAAACUUGCCUCCAUCUGGACCUCUCCCUGGUUCACCUCGCCAUGCCUUGCUACGCUUUUCCCAGACCUAUACAACCGAUCGAGGGGCAAGAAAAGGUGUUGA
rnacentral:rRNA from 1 species